GAAUUGAAGAUGGAAGACGAACGGAUUGAGGCAGAGAAGCAAAGGG
rnacentral:sRNA from 1 species